UUACCGGAGUACUAUGAAUAUUUAAACAUUUAAAACUUAAAGAACUUGGCGGUGUUUUAGACCACUUAGGGGAACCUGUCUCGUAAUCGACAAUCCGCGUUAAACCUGACCUUUUCUUGUUAUCAGUUUGUAUACCGUUGUCGUCAGGUAACUUUUUAGAAAUUAGAAGUUAGCGAUAAAAGCAAUUUAAUGACUUAGGACGUCAAAUCAAGGUGCAGCUAACGAAAAGGGGAGGAUGGGUUACAAUUAUUUGAUUUAUAAUAACGGACGAACAACAUGAAUAUGUUUCAAAUUAUAAGGUGGACUUGAAAGUAAAUUAGAUUAUAUAGAUAGUUUGAAUAAGGCUCUGAAACGUGU
rnacentral:rRNA from 1 species